AAAUUCAAUAUGGACUUUAAUUAAACGUGCUCCCACUGUUUAAAAUAAAUUCAUGACUCUCAUACAUAAAUUAUUUGAAUCCACAUUUGAUUCCCAGUGGGCUGGGAUCCCAUUCGUUGUAUCAAGAUCUUGAGUGUACUCAACAAAUUUUAAUAAAACAUUUGGGUAGAUAUUGUUAUCAAUUGUAUCUCCACACAACUUCCAGAUCAUUAAGCUGACAACUCUUUUGUCUUCACACAUCUUAUGUGUUAGCUUAACAUGCCUUUAAAAGUUAACUCCUUGAGUGUACUCAACAAAAGAUAAAUUUUAGUUAAGUCAAACCCAUCAUUCAGAAAUAUCAAAUAUUUCAUAGUAUCAAACAUAUCCCUAAUAGACCAGCCUUGAGUGUACUCAACAAGCUAAGGUCAAUUUAGGAUUCUCGGUUAUCACUAUAAUGAUGGAAGACAAAUAAUACUAACUUAAUAUUUUAAUGAGGGAUUUAACAUGCAAUGGUCUCAUCAAG
rnacentral:lncRNA from 1 species